UCGCAGACCAGAGGAGACUGGGGAGACAAGACAAAGGUCCGCUAGUCUGUCCCAGGGCUGCACCCAUAAAACAUCUCUUCCCUGCAACAGCUUACCUGCGGCCAAGGUGAAACGAGCGGGUCUACUCUGCCACCAGGAUGUGGAUGCCUGAGAAUAUAAGUGUUGUGGGCCAUCUCUCCAGGAAGAAAGCACAUAUAUGUUCAUAUACUCAGUAUUGUGCAAAGAGCUUCUGGGAUUUAUGGCACCUACCUAAAUCUUGGGAUCCACAGACCCUGGGUGAGAAAACUCAUGUCCAUCCUCUUGCUCAGAAAAAUAAAGUUGUACAUAAUCACCUGUGUUUCCCAAAAAGAUAUCCUGUGAAUUACUGGUUUCACAAAAUAUUUACAGAUUUUGCAUGAAAAACAUCUUGUAUGAAAAAUGUUGGAAAGUGCAGAAUUAAACGAAGUGAAGCAGGCUUCUUUUUUUGGAGGAUCUUGCAAAUGUUUAAUAUGCCAUCGUGUUUUGGGACUCUCCCAAAAGGAGAUCGUGUCUAGUAUUUCCCAGAUUUAUACUGUAUCUUAUUCCUUGCAGGA